GACGAACGCUGGCGGCGUGCUUAACACAUGCAAGUCGAACGAUGAAGCUAGAGCUUGCUCUGGUGAAUUAGUGGCGAACGGGUGAGUAACACGUGAGUAACCUGCCCCGAACUCUGGGAUAACUGCUGGAAACGGUAGCUAAUACUGGAUACGACCUACGAAGGCAUCUUCUGUAGGUGGAAAGAAUUUCGGUUCGGGAUGGACUCGCGGCCUAUCAGCUUGUUGGUGAGGUAAUGGCUCACCAAGGCGACGACGGGUAGCCGGCCUGAGAGGGUGACCGGCCACACUGGGACUGAGACACGGCCCCGACUCCUACGGGAGGCAGCAGUGGGGAAUAUUGCACAAUGGGCGCAAGCCUGAUGCAGCAACGCCGCGUGAGGGAUGACGGCCUUCGGGUUGUAAACCUCUUUUAGUAGGGAAGAUGCGAAAGUGACGGUACCUGCAGAAAAAGCACCGGCUAACUACGUGCCAGCCGCCGCGGUAA
rnacentral:rRNA from 1 species